rnacentral:rRNA from 1 species
GGACUACAAGGGUUUCUAAUCCCGUUUGCUCCCCUAGCCUUCGCGCCUCAGCGUCAGGAUUUGUCCAGAGAUCCGCCUUCGCCACUGGUCUUCCUCACGAUAUCUACGCAUUUCACUGCUACACCGUGAAUUCCGAUCUCCUCUCCAACCCUCAAGCAGAGCAGUAUCCAGUGCAAUUUCGGAGUUGAGCUCCGAGAUUUCACACCAGACUUACCCCGCCGCCUACGCGCCCUUUACGCCCAAUGAAUCCGAACAACGCUUGAGACCUCUGUAUUACCGCGGCGGCUGGCAC